UACGGAGGAUUCAAGCGUUAUCCGGAUUUAUUGGGUUUAAAGGGUGCGUAGGCGGGUUAUCAAGUCAGCGGUCAAAGCCCGGGGCUCAACCCCGGCCCGCCGUUGAAACUGGCAGUCUCGAGUUGGAGAGAAGUAUGCGGAAUGCGCGGUGUAGCGGUGAAAUGCUUAGAUAUCACGAAGAACUCCGAUUGCGAAGGCAGCUCACUAGACUGCAACUGACACUGAUGCUCGAAAGUGUGGGUAUCAAACAGG
rnacentral:rRNA from 1 species